rnacentral:rRNA from 1 species
UGGGGGAUAUUGCACAAUGGGGGAAACCCUGACGCAGCAACGCCGCGUGAAGGAUGAAGGUUUUCGGAUCGUAAACUUCUUUGAUGGGGGACGAAAAAAAUGACGGUACCCCAAAAACAAGCCACGGCUAACUACGUGCCAGCAGCCGCGGUAAUACGUAGGUGGCGAGCGUUGUCCGGAAUUACUGGGCGUAAAGGGCGCGUAGGCGGGAACUCAAGUCUGGUGUGAAAACUAUGGGCUUAACCCAUAGAUUGCAGUUGAAACUGUUUUUCUUGAGUGGAGUAGAGGUAGGCGGAAUUCCGAGUGUAGCGGUGAAAUGCGUAGAUAUUCGGAGGAACACCAGUGGCGAAGGCGGCCUACUGGGCUCUAACUGACGCUGAGGCUCGAAAGUGUGGGGAGCAAACA